AGAGAGUCAUACAAGUUUCGACGACUUGAGAAGAUGUCUACAAAGAGUUCGGAAGCUUAAUAUUGACGAUCCUAUGCACACGUCUGUUGUACAAUACUUGUAUAUUUAAUUAAAAUGUUCAUAAACUCUUCAAAAGACCCUGAGUGAUGCUGAAACCCUCUGGACUAUACAAGUGUGGUUUAAAAAGAUGUUUUGGGGAAUCUUCAUCCAGUGUUAAAUCUCACGGAGCAACACAGACACGGUUCUGUAGAUUUCAUCUAAAAAUGUAUCGCUCAUUAAUUAAACACAUCAGACGUAUUUGCAUGGCUCCUGCAGAUAUGGAAAUGUCUGAAAUGAGUUUUUAAUAGAGGCCUCUCGUACGCACAUCCUCUGUGA